UAGGGAAUCUUCCACAAUGGGCGCAAGCCUGAUGGAGCAACGCCGCGUGAGUGAAGAAGGUCUUCGGAUCGUAAAACUCUGUUGUUGGUGAAGAAGGAUAGAGGCAGUAACUGGUCUUUAUUUGACGGUAAUCAACCAGAAAGUCACGGCUAACUACGUGUCAG
rnacentral:rRNA from 1 species